rnacentral:lncRNA from 1 species
GUCAGAAGACCACUAAUUUCGCGGCCGCGUUCCACGAAGCUAAGGGGCAAAAAACCAGCUUUCUUGGGACAAAGCGUCCCCCCAGCAGCCAGGGUCGAUCCCGGCGCUGCUCCCGCGGCGCUUGGCUGCCCCGGGCGUAACGGGCCACGAGAAGUAGGGGGUGGGGCGCCGCUUAGGUUUGGGAAGACACGAAGCGGCUCCUCGGGCUUCCAGCGUCCACUUCCUACGGCAAGCAG